GAUGAACGCUGACAGAAUGCUUAACACAUGCAAGUCGAACGAGCGGCGGACGGGUGAGUAAUGCUUGGGAAUCUGGCUUAUGGAGGGGGAUAACGACGGGAAACUGUAGCUAAUACCGCGUACCAUAGGAUGAGCCCAAGUGGGAUUAGGUAGUUGGGGGGGUAAUGGCCUACCAAGCCGACGAUCCCUAGCUGGUCUGAGAGGAUGACCAGCCACACCGGAACUGAGACACGGCCCGGACUCCUACGGGAGGCAGCAGUGGGGAAUAUUGCACAAUGGGUGCAACCCUGACGCAGCCAUGCCGCGUGAUUGAAGAAGGCCUUCGGGUUGUAAAGUUCUUUCGGUGUUGAGGCGUUAAAUGCAGAAGAAGCACCGGCUAACUCCGUGCCAGCAGCCGCGGUAAUUC
rnacentral:rRNA from 1 species